rnacentral:rRNA from 1 species
UACGUAGGGGGCUAGCGUUGCUCGGAAUCACUGGGCGUAAAGGGUGCGUAGGUGGCGAGGUAAGUCGGAUGUGAAAGCUCGGAGCUCAACUCCGAAAUGGCAUUGGAAACUACCUUGCUCGAGGGUUGGAGGGGGGACUGGAAUUCUCGGUGUAGCAGUGAAAUGCGUAGAUAUCGAGAGGAACACCAGUGGCGAAGGCGAGUCCCUGGACAACUCCUGACACUGAGGCACGAAAGCUAGGGGAGCAAACAGG